UACGAUCUUUAGCUGGUCUGAGAGGACGAUCAGCCACAUUGGGACUGAGACACGGCCCAAACUCCUACGGGAGGCAGCAGUGGGGAAUCUUGCACAAUGGAGGAAACUCUGAUGCAGCGAUGCCGCGUGAGUGAAGAAGGCCUUUGGGUUGUAAAGCUCUUUCGUCGGGGAAGAAAAUGACUGUACCCGAAUAAGAAGGUCCGGCUAACUUCGUGCCAGCAGCCGCGGUAAUAC
rnacentral:rRNA from 14 species